rnacentral:rRNA from 1 species
UACGUAGGGGACAAGCGUUGUCCGGAAUUAUUGGGCGUAAAGCGCGUGUAGGCGGCCAAGUAAGUCUUACGUGAAAUCCCUGAGGCUCAACCUCAGGCCUGCGCGGGAUACUGCUUGGCUAGAGUCCGGAAGAGGAGAGUGGAAUUCCUGGUGUAGCGGUGGAAUGCGCAGAUAUCAGGAGGAACAUCCGUGGCGAAGGCGGCUCACUGGCCCGGUACUGACGCUGAGGUGCGAAAGCGUGGGGAGCAAACAGG